GCAGGAGGCAAAAGGCAAGGUCCAGAGGCAAACAGAGUUCAGGCAGGGCUGGAGGCAAAAGGCAAGGUCCGGAGGCAAACAUUUCAGACAGGGCUGGAGGCAAAAGGCAAGGUCCGGAGGCAAACAGUUCAGGCAGGGCCGGAGGCAAAAGGCAAGGUCCGGAGGCAAACAGAGUUCAGGCAGGGCUGGAGGCAAAAGGCAAGGUCCAAAGGCAAACAGUUCAGGCAGGGCCGGAGGCAAAAGGCAAGGUCCGGAGACAAACAGUGUUCAGGCAGGGCUGGAGGCAAAAGGCAAGGUCCGGAGGCAAACAGUUCAGGCAGGGCUGGAGGCAAAAGGCAAGGUCCGGAGGCAAACAGUUCAGGCAGGGCCGGAGGCAAAAGGCAAGGUCCAAAGGCAAACAGUUCAGGCAGGGCCGGAGGCAAAAGGC